UUUUGAAGUUCAAAUUUUUUCGAUUGAAUCAUUUUGGAACAAACGUACCGUGGUGGGCGGGUGCUUCUCUAUUGGUCAGACAUGUUUGAUUGACAAGUGUCUACACCAACGACGUCUUUCUGACAAAGAAGUCUUGUUCGGCACUCCCCAGGCCAGACAGCUUUUUAACAGCAAGAGGGAACAGCGGUGAAGUUGUCGGGCGGAGUGGCAGACCAUCUAUUGUUACCAGAGAGCACAUAGACGUCCUUAUGAAGCAAGGACAUACAAUCAAAAAAAAGGCAAAAAUGAUUGGAUGUUCCUCGUCGUUUUUGAACAACAAAUCAAAGCUGGUGGACCUACACAUAAGAGGAAGACUGUCUGCCUUAGAUGACAAUCAGCUGCAAGAGCGUGUGAGCACAUUGCAGGACCAGUAUCCAAACUCUGGGAAUGAGAUGAUGAGGGUGCUGCUUCGUGCUCAAGAUGUGAUUGUCACACGGGCCAGGGUACGCUAAAUGUUGGGAAGGACAAACCUGACAUCUGCUUCAAGAAGGUGGAGUCGGACUGUUGCAAGAUGGGGCUUUGUGAUACAUGGUGCCAUCGAAGGACACUCGUGUGGGAUUACUUCAGCUGCAGUAUAAACAAUAGGGCAACAACAGUACUCUGUCAGUUUUUGAAAGCAACAUCUUACUAUGGACUACCAUCAAGAGUCAGAUCAGACCAUGGGGAUGAAAACAUGCUGCUUGCUUUAUGCAUGCAUCUAGUUCAAGGGCUGGAACACAGAGGCUUCAUAACAGGAGAAUCAGUUCAUAAUCAGCGCAUAGAACACCUUUGGCAGGAUGUAUUUUUGCAUGUGCUGCAGCAUUUCUACCAUACAUUCUACUGUCUGGAGGACGCAGAGAAUCUUAACCCAGAUAAUGAUAUCCACAGACUUUCUUUACAUAUUGUAUAUCCACCUGAGAUUCAAAGGAGGCUGGAACAGUUCAGACAGGCUUGGUACCACCAUGGUUUGCCCACAGAAAGUAAUCACACAGCAGCUCGUCUGUAAUUCUGAUGCAGAAUACAUUUGACAAUUAUUGACAUUUAAUCAUUCUUUUGCACAUUGCCAUUAUCACUUUAUUUUAGAUCUGUAAAUAUUUAUUUAUAUAUAUAUAUAUAUAUAUAUA